rnacentral:lncRNA from 1 species
GUUUUUAGCCAAAGAAGGUGACACUGUGGAACCAGGCACGAAGAUAGCAAUUAUAUCGAAGUCUAGCGAAGGUGUAACACAUGUAGCUCCCUCAGAGAAGCCACCUAGCAAGGCUGUGUCCGAGCCAUCUCCUGCCCCUGCAGAAAAGGAGAAAAUGGACAAGCAAAUUCCCAAGGCAGAAACAACACUGCCCAAGGACAAGCCCAAAGUACCUUCCCCACCGACUUCUAGAUCUUCACCCUCUGAACCUCAACUUCCACCAAAAGAAAGAGAAAGAAGAGUAAGCAUCAGGAUUUCUGAUAAUUUAUUGAAGUUGUGAUGUUACUGUUUCACUUAAAAUUAAUAAUUACACUCCUUUCACUUUAACUCCAGUGUGAUUCUUCUUAUCAUUUUCUUAGCUGGUUACAUUGUCAUGUUCUUGCCUACAUAGUUUCACUUUGCUUUCAGGUUCCUAUGACAAGGCUAAGAAAGCGAGUUGCAACACGGCUGAAGGAUUCCCAAAAUACUUUUGCACUGCUAACCACAUUUAAUGAUGUUGAUAUGUAAGUUCUAAACAAUAUCAGUGAUAUCUAUGCUUGAAUUUUCUUCUGAUCGUUGUUUGUAGUCCACAUUAUUAAACCUCUUCCAAAUCUCAUUUGAAUAUAUACGUAAUAUGCGAGUAAAAAUGUUAACCUAUCUAUGACUUGGUAAAAUACAUUGUAUGUGAUUGUGAGUAUAUACCUGACGGGGUUUUAUUAAUUUUUAAGCACCUACUCCAUUUGGUCUCAAAUCAUCUAAAACUUCUUUUAGUUGCCAUCUUCAUUUCUUCUGUCAAUUAUAAUGCUGGUAUUAGCUUCAUUGACAAACUGUUAUCUCGGAUGGAAUAUGUAAAUUAAUGAAAUUGAAGUUGUUAAAAUUUGAAUAUAAUGCCAGGAAAAAUAAAUUAUUUAAAGAACCCUUUUUUAAGGAGGAUUGUAGUUCAACCCAAUUGAUAAUGAUAUUGUCUAACAAAUCAAAAAUUAGUUUAUUUCAUUGUUUGAGCAAACAUUGCAUGUUUGGACACAUUUGCUUGGGCAUAUCUCCCCCAUAUCAUUCUUCUUUAGAUACUGACAUGUUGACAUUCCCUGCUAUCCAGGACUAAUUUAAUGAAGCUUCGUUCUGAGUAUAAAGAUGCCUUUCUUGAGAAGCAUGGAGUAAAACUAGGACUUAUGUCAGGUUUUGUCAAAGUGUGUACAGUCAUAUGAUACCAGCUUUCUAAUGUACUCCCUCUGUGCCAAUUUAUUUGUCUUGUUUGACUUUUUUUGGUCAAAUUGACCAAACUUUGACUAGUAAUUGUUAAUUAUUCUUACAUGAUCUUGAAAAUCAAAAAAUAUACAUUUUAAAGUAGAAUAGAUGUAGAUUUUUGUAAUAUAUUUUCCAUAAUUUAUUCUAAUUAUUUCAUAUAUGUAAAUUUCAGUCAAAGUUUGGUCAAUUUGACUAUAAAAAGUCAAACAAGACAUAAAAUUGGGACGGAGGGGGUAAAAUUCUAUGUGUAGUUGCACUUUUUAUAAAAUUUUCCAUGAUGUUUGUUUCAGGCUGCUGUAAGUGGGCUCCAGAACCAGCCAAUCAUCAAUGCUGUUAUUGAUGGAGAUGACAUUAUCUAUCGAGAUUAUAUUGACAUCAGUAUUGCUGUUGGUACACCAAAGGUCAGUCGCUAAUUAAAGUUAUUCUGGCGUCUCUUUUAUAAUUGAUUGACAUUUCUAUAACACCACCCUACUUAUAGUUCCUAUAUCACAACUGUUCUAUUUUGAAAAUUCACCAUAUUAGUCUAUUUACAGAAUUACCAUAGUCUAUUUUAAAAUUCACCAUAUUCGUACCAGAAUCACCAUAUUAAUGAUCAGUUAUUGUAUUCGGCCUACUGUAUUUUGACAUGCACUGAACAUCUACAUGUCAAUGAUAAGUUUUAAACGGAGGUAUUGCAAACUAAAUUUGCCGAAAGUCCAAUGUGCUAUGUCAAUGAAUAUACGAUCACAAGACGAAAAGCUUUUACUGAGUAAUUUAUAAGAGUUACCAUAUAAAGAGGAAGGUUGACAUCCUGUUUUGCUGUGUUCUGUUUGAAACAAAAUAUACAAUUUCUAUGUGAAAGUAACUAAUUCUGUUCUUAGUAUAGAGCUGCAAGCUAGAAGUUUGCAAGUCUUAAAUACAAGGCGUAUGCCUGUUUCUUAAAGCUCCCAUUGUGAAAUGAAUCUUAAAGUUCCUUCCUCAUAACCUCUCUUUUUACUGAAAAAAACAUCUGUUCAUAUCUGUGCUUUGUGUCUCAGACAAUGAUGGUCAAAGCUUCUCUGUGAAUUCAGCUUGUUUGUACCUGGCAGUGUUACUUUUUCUGUAUGUUUUUUUAUGUUCGUUCUUUUUCUGAUAGUGUGGUGUUCAACGUUGUACGGAUUGAUACUUUCUGUAAUUUAUUCCACUUGUACAAAAGAACAUAACAUACUCUUGCUCAUCUGUGGCUCAUUAAGUACUCCAUGUAAGAGCAGUAGGCCUCUUGGCUAGAAGUUGUUAAAUGGAGGUCACUGAUUGCUGGACUACAAAAUAGAAGUUGUUAAAUUUUAUUGGGUAAAACAAAAUAGAAGCAUAAACGGACGUCUCUGAUUGCUGGACUACACUUACUAUUUAUUUUUCUUUUGUUAUCAAGGGUCUUGUUGUUCCGGUUAUUCGCAAUGCUGAAAGAAUGAACUUUGCUGAUAUAGAGAAAGAAAUCAACACUUUAGCAAAAAAGGCUACUAAUGGUUCCAUUUCUAUCGAUGAGAUGGCUGGAGGUUCAUUUACAAUAUCUAAUGGAGGUGUAUAUGGAAGUCUCUUGAGUACCCCAAUUAUUAAUCCUCCACAGGUAUGAUCUUUUGCAUAAACAGAUAUUUAUAAACACAUAUAGGAUACAAUUCUAAGACUAUAAGCAUAUAACCACCAAAGAAUUGCUUCUGACUUGUGAGUAGUUAUUCUUUUGCUCUUUCACUUGCUAGUCUGCGCCUAUUUAUAAUUAGACCCUUGAAUAUAAAACCAUUGGUGUACCAGAAAGCGGUACUUAAGAACAUAGGAAAUUGUCAGGAACUCUGGUAAAUUCUUUAACAAACAUUCAGAUAAAAAUUGCAAAGCCACUAAUUAAUCAAUAUGGACACCUGGGUGCUUGCUCAGACCUCUAUAUUGAGAUAACGAUCACAUUUGAAACUGUAUUUGCGGGAAACUGGGGAGGGUUGUUAAAUAAUAGGUAUGACUUCCUCUUAUGACACUUACCUAGAAGUUGUUACAUAUGCUCGUACCAUCAAAUGAGAAAGAAAACCUAGUAUAAAACAAUGGUAUUAACCUAACAAAGAUCCUUGCACAUUAUUUUAUGUAGCAACUCUCAUGGAUGCUAAUCACUUUCAAAUUAUUAACAUGCACAUCCAGGGAAGGACACCUUACAAAUAUACUACUAACAUACUACUAUACGGAGGCUGCAUAUAUAUUGUUAUUUUCUACAGAAACAAGCCUAAAUCUAUUAGUGUCACUGCAGAUUCAAAUUUGGCUUUGGUUUUCUGUAAUGAUUGUCUGCUAUGAUAAUUUAUGCCGACAUCAAAAAUGCACUCCCAAUAAUUUUUCCAUUUUCUUUGCAGUCUGCUAUUCUGGGUAUGCAUUCUAUCGUGAAUCGUCCAAUGGUUGUUGGAGGAGAAAUUGUUUCACGGCCAAUGAUGUACAUUGCCCUAACUUAUGACCAUAGGCUGAUUGAUGGAAGAGAGGCUGUAUUCUUCUUGAGGCGCAUCAAAGAUGUUAUAGAAGACCCCAGGAGGCUUCUGCUCGACAUAUGAAAGCUGCAAAAGCUGACAACUCUGUAGUAGACCCUAGUGCCUCAAGGGUUAACAAUGUUAUAAUAAAGUCUAAAUUUCUGCUGUUGACCUUAUCAUUGUUUAAUCGCGGCAACUGUUCCUGAGUUUGCAAGUGAGAGUUUGUUAUAAAACACAAGUUGUUAUUACUGUGAAAAACAGUUCAGAGUUUUGCAGAGGGACUUGGAAGAUAUUACCUAAUAUGCUAUUUGUGGUCAAUUUAAUUUAUUUUGUCGGUUGAAGAGAAAAUAAAACUGUACGAGAUUCUUGGUUAUUUCUGAUAGUCUUUGUGUUUUCAGUUUCUUUCUUAAAUUUUGGUAUUUGGAGCAGAACAAGUGACCUGGAUCUUUCAUAUUAAACCUCCCUAGUUCUUUUGUGGAAUAAGCCGGCAAGAUAUCUCCUAAAAUCCGGCUAAAAAAUGUAAAAUACUGAUUACUUAAAAUUUGCUAAAAUGAAAAUGAUACUGACAAUAUAUAAAAUUUGCAGAAAAUUUAAAAUGUUAGUAUGACAAUAAUAAUUGAUCAUAUUUUUAAAAACAAUAAAUUCAGGUUGUCAUAGAAUACUUUAUGUAUAUUAUUAUAAUUCAUAUACGUUGUUAUUAGUAUUAUAAAACCAUUUAUUGUUUAAUGAAAAUUUUGAUUAAUGCAGAAUUUUUUACCUGCGAAAAUUAUUAUUUUUGAAUUCAAUAAAAAUUUACCUAAUUUUUAAAAAAUAGUUGUUAAAUGUGCAAGUUAAGUUAAUACUCCUUUGUCCCAUAAUAACAGCCGCUUUGACUUUUUAUAUGUAAUUUAAUGUGUAAAAAAACAUAGUUUUAUAUAUUAUUUUUAAAAUUUUUAUUUUUCAAAUAAAAAUUUAACAAAAAAGAAAAUUUGAAAAAUAGUAAAAAUAUGUUUUUUUUUUCAUAUUAAAAGUGAAAACGAGUCUUAUGGACAGGUGGAGUAAUUAAAUCAACUCCAUCAACACGUGGUUGUUUUAUGAGGAACGGUCAAGCCACCAAAACAGAGUUGUCUGAACUUUACAUCCCCUUUGAUGUUCUGAAAAACCAGGCCUCGUUAACUCCUUAUUUCUCUGCUGUUUUAUUACUCUACUAGAAAACAUAUACUACUCUCGUAUGUUGAGUUCAAUUCACCUUUCUUGUCUGUGUUACUAUUAUAUCAUACUAGCCUUUAACCCGUGCGAAGCACGGGCGGGUAUAUAGUUCGUAAUUUAUUAUUUAUAAUUUAAACUUUAACAUAAUUUUAUUAGUAUUUUAGUAUUAAUGGAUUGAAUUUUAAUUAAAUUAUAUUAUUCAACUAACUAUAUUUUCUCCCGAUUACUUGAAAAUGGACAAACCCUAAUAUGUGUGUGUGUCCAGAUUUUAGUACAUUUAAUCCGAAUUUAGUACACGUAGAUUUAAAAAUAAAAAAAAUCAGAAAAUUCAAAUCUUUUCCAUACAUAGCCGAUCGUAUAAUACCUUUGAAAAGAUUCAGUAAUCUAAUCAAUCGAAUUUCAACGUAAUUUUGUAAUCUUGGUUUUUUUUGACAACAAUAACUUUUAAGAUUAGAGUUAAAAAAGGUUAUGUAAUGGUUCAUGUUUAUAUUGAAAUAGAACACGUUAACGUUAAAAAUAGUUAUAUGAAGGUUCUUGUUAAAAGAAAGAUAUUUAAAAUUGUAUAUUUAUAAUUUUAUUUAUAACAUCAUUAUAAUUUUUUAAUGAAAUAUUAUAUGAUAAUGGAUUGUUAUGAGUGUUUUUAGUACUUGAAACUGUUUAACAAUAUAAUACUAAUAGACUCCACAUUUGUAGACUUGUAGUACCAAAAGGAGAGUACCACCAAAAAAUAAUAGACUCCACAUUUGUAGACUUAUAGUACCAAAAGGAGAGUACCAAACCAAAAAUAUAACUAAAACAUUGGAUUACAAAUUAUACCUAUGACUUAUUAUAGUAUAGUAUAGAUGUGCUGAGUUUCUAUUUUUAUUAACAAUGGCUCAUAUAUCAUAUGUCUGAUGCUUGGUUUAUGUGUACAUGUAUUAUGUUAGGGAAAAGGCGACGUUGUAAUUAAGGUUAUCAUGUUGUCUCUCGUGAGGCGCAAACUUGCGGCCACUGCCUCUUCUUCCUUGUCGGGGGUUAGUUAAUGUAUUUAUUGUAUGCAUUGUAAUGUUUGUUUGUUUUGUUUCUAUGUUGUCACUGUGAUUGUGUUUCAUUUCAGUCGUUGGGACGAGUUAGGUCUGCGGUCGUGUUAUCACAUGCCAAUCAGGUAUUAUUAUUUUCUCUACGAGGCGUAUUUGGAUGAGUUAUUAGGCUUUUCGAAUGUUUGUUGUGCUUGUCCAAUGGCUUUAAUAAGUCUGUUGUAGUAAAAUAUUUAUUAUUUAUAUAUUGCGGUUAGUAUAUUUGAUUUCAUUUUAUGCUGAAUUAUAGGCUGUAGAGUUGUUUGUAAUGAUCCGAAGUUGUGCCAAGGUUCCUCAUUAGAUGAUUAGUCCUUUCAAAAGUUUUUCGCUUAAAUUUGAGAUAAAUGUUGUACUCAACUCAGUCUCUUAUCUGGGAUUUUUUGGAUAAUAUAUUUGGAAACAAAAGACUCUCAGUAUGGCGAAAAGGAGUUGCCUAUAAUUCCCAUGUUUACAUUUUAUUUUCUUUGCGUUGAGGUUUAUAUUGGACCCACCACUGCUAAUUUGACAUAGAAUGUUUUGUCGAAUGGACUUGAGUUAUAUAACUGCUAGUAAGAGUAGAUAUGUAGAUACUAUUAAUCUAUAACUAGAUUUUGGUCAUUUUGUUUUUUGGAACUAUUAACAACUCUUAGUCCUUUUUAUGGGGAUGGGGGGAGGUAAAGGUCAAAGACAGGAACUUAAAUACAAUUACACACACAUACAUGCCUCCACCAAGGAUCCAUACUUAACACCCUAGGGUCCGGAUAUGAUACCUCUGAUGAACCAUGGAGUAUUUCGGGAUUAUGAACACAGAGCUGGACAGUUGUAGGCGUAGCUAAUGACUAUGCUUUCUCAUGUUGUAUUAUCCCUGAUUAUCUUUUUUUUGUAUGCAGGAUAGAAUGGGCACAUCGAGUCUAGUUUAGUAGUGUAAAUAUUUUUGUUAUUGCAAUUUGAGCAUUUGUUUUACCACUAUGAGGUCUCUUUGUUUCUACAUUAUAGGUUUCCUUUAAUUAUCAUUUUGAGGUUCAUUCAAAUUUUUAUCAUAUAUCUCCUAGAUGGUUAUUGACCUUAUAAACGCUUGUCAAAUGCUUGUACAAUUACAGGCACUAUAUCUUAAAAGAGGAUCAGAACACAUUCACAGCUUUUGUAAUCAAGGUAAUCCGAAUGUUUCUGCUAAUUUUGACGUACAAGUAUUGUAUUAAUCCAAAUAUUAUUAUUCGCUUGCUGAACUUCUCUAAAUGAUUUAUAGGCCACUCAGAUAAUUCAAGGCAUGUAAGGUUGGUACAACCCUUACUGUUAUGUUGUCCCUACUAUUCAAUAUUUUUUUUAUAGUGUUUCCACAAAAAAAUUCAUAUAUUAAAGAUGCUUGUUCACCUAGAUAUCUCUGGAAUGUGAUAAUUUCUUGUGUUCCUUUUGGAUGCUACUCCUUGAUCAUUAAUGUCUUUUAAUAUUUUUCUGGGCACAGGAAUGUUGUAUCAAAUAUUCGAAUACAUAAUUCAACAUCAGUCUGGAGUAGAUCAUAUUCUUCAGAUAGUGGUAUGAUGUUCUAGAAUCUUCAUUUUGUUCUUUUCUUGAGCAUAUGCUGUGAAUACCUUAGUAUCUGCAUUGCUCAUGAGUAUCAUUCUUUGUUAUGAAGGUGAACUAGUUGAGGCUGUUGUGCCAUAUAUGGGUGAAUCCAUUACUGAUGGCACGAUAGCCACCUUUUUAAGAAGUAAGUUCUUACGAUUUGUAGAAUCUGUAUUUGUGAAUAUAUAGAGAAAGGUUUGGAACCCUAGUUUUGGAGUUUUCAUCCCAGGGGGUCGUUAGACUGCAGUUGCUGCUGAAAAACAAUUUUUUAGUGAAUUAUUUUCUUUAUGCACCUUUUUCUUUAUUUGGAACUCAUUCUGUAAUAUAUGGAAGCAGAACCUGGCGAUCAUGUUGAUAUUGAUGAACCAAUUGCCCAAGUUGAAACUGAUAAGGUGUUUAUGACUUUUGUGCUCCACAUUUUCCACACUAUCUCGACUCUCAAGUAUCAUGACCAAGACUAAAUAGUUAUUUUGACAACAUUCAGGUGACAAUCGAUGUUGCAAGUCCUGAAUCUGGUAUCAUUAAAGAGGUAGUAAAUUUUAGCAGGAUCAGUAUAUGUGUUCAUAAUGCUAUAUCACACUUCUGAAUAAGUGGUGUUUGUAAAUUUUGUCUCAUCAGUUUUUAGCCAAAGAAGGUGACACUGUGGAACCAGGCACGAAGAUAGCAAUUAUAUCAAAGUCUAGUGAAGGUGUAACACAUGUAGCUCCCUCAGAAAAGCCACCUAGCAAGGCUGCGUCCGAGCCAUCUCCUGCCCCUGCAGAAAAGGAGAAAAUGGACAAGCAAAUGCCCAAGGCAGAAACAACACUGCCCAAGGACAAGCCCAAAGUACCUUCCCCUCCGAAUUCUAGAUCUUCACCCUCUGAACCACAACUUCCACCAAAAGAAAGAGAAAGAAGAGUAAGCAUCAGGAUUUCUGAUAAUUUACUGAAGAGAUGUUACUGUUUCACUUAAAAUUAAUAAGUGCACUCCUUUCACUUCAACUCCAAUGUGAUUCUUAUCGUUUUCUUAGCUGGUUACAUCGUCAUGUUUUUG